rnacentral:lncRNA from 1 species
AUUACUACUUAACAUGCUUUAUUCCCAUGACUUUGUUGCGCAUUUAGAAUAUAGGCAUCGUAUUUUUAUAUGCACUUAUUCUUAAUUCUGCCAUGGAUGUAAUUUAUGGUUCUGUUUCUAUUAACUUUUCUAUUUUAUUAUUUGUAUGUCAGAUGAUCUCAGCCACUUUUCUAUCGCUGUGAAGAAACACCAUAAUCAAGGCAAUUUUAAAAAGAAAUCAUUUAAUUUGAGGCUUACAGUUCCAGUGGGUGGUAUAGUUCAUGACCAUCUUGGCAGGAAGCAUGACCACUGACAAUCACCCUGGAGCAAUAGCUGAGAGCUUACAUCUUAUUUGCCUUAUUUGAGGCAGAAACAAAGAUGGUUACUUGGGAAUAGCAUGGGCUCUUAAGGCCUACUUUCCAGAGACACAUCUCCUCAAAAAAGACCAAACACACCUUCUCCAACAAGACCGCGUUUCCCAAUCCUUCCCAAAGAGUUCCACCACCUGUGGAUCAAAUAUUCAAAUAUGUGAACCUGUUGGGGCUGUUCUCUUCCACACUGCCUCACUGAUAAGUCUUUUUUUCAGUAACUGAGAUAAUCUGACAUACAAAUAAUAAAAUACAAUAAAAGAACGACCCAGACUCCCCAGUGACUCUUCUUGCACCUAGCUCUAUCCCAGAAUCCUCUCUGCAUACUGGAUGCCCCACCUUCUCUUCUACUCUUUUCUAUAGGCCAUAGGGUUGGUUUGUUUUUUCCCACAAGAUAGUCUGUCUACGUGGUACCUUUUGUUUUUGUCUCCCUUCCUUUCUUCCUUCCUUCCUUCCUUCCUUCCUUCCUUCCUUCCUUCCUUCCUUCCUUCCUUCCCUCCUCCCUCCCUCCCUCCCUUCUUUCUUUCCUUCCUUCCUUUCUUCCUCCCCCCACUUUCUUCCUUCUAGUCUUUGCUUUUUUCUCUGUUUUUUUUUCUUGAUUUUCUUUAAGAAAGGGUCUCCCUCUGUAGCUCAUGCUGGCUUUGAACUCAUGAUAAUCCUCCUGGUGUGACUUCCCAAGUGCUGGGGUUACACCCACCAUGUGUGCUUUCCCCGGCCAGGCUCAUGGUGCCAUCUUACACUAGCGUCUUGCCUUUGGAUAAAAGGGGAAGUCAAUUACAGCUUCCAUGUGUGGAGAAACUGGAAAAGGUUCAGUCAGAGAGAGAGAGAGACAGAGAGCUCACCCUUGGUGCCUUUUAUAUCUCGUUUUAAAGGAAAAGCCACAGAGAGAAUUUCUUACUUGUUCUUCUAACGUUCAGUGAAGUUUAGUUCCAUGAGAUAAUUUCAUCAGUUCCAACAAAAUUAGAAAAGGGGCCCUAAAAGUCUGUGCUGGCUUCCCUUACAAUACCAACACACGCUUGAUUGUCCCCACAGGUACAUCAUGGAAGACAAUUCUGAGGUCACUCUCAUUAUAUUCAAUAUUUCAAUUCUGCAUUCAAUUUUAAUUUGAAAUGUGACUUGAAUUUUGAACGUGACCUUCUCAGCAACAACCUUGAAAGAACACAAAUCCCAAUAUCUAACAUACUGGAUUCUCAGUAAGUGCAAAAGAAGGGAACAGGAAACAGGAAAGGGAAGAACACGAGGAAACAGGAAAUGAAAGAGGGAAGAACAAACAAGAGAAGGGGCCCUCAGGAAGUCAGCGUCAUGUCUGCCAGCAAUAGCUCCUGACUGGACAAAGCCAAAGCAGACUCCCUAGUUGUCAAGUUGUUUUCGUACAACACUUUCUACAUUUGUUAUCUCUCUGACUCUAAUGCUCUCUCUACUGCAUAUUAGUUCCUAUGAUUAAUUACAAUCAAUUUAUCUUGUAGUAUUUACUGUCUUUCUGGUACUAAGUUCUUUUUGAUUUUAGUUUUAUUACAUUUUUAUUGUGUGUUUGUAUGUGCGUGCACACAUAUGUGUGUUGGCACACAUGUGGAGGUCAGAGGUCAGUUUGUGGAUCAAUUCUCACCAUGCGAGUCCCUGGCAUUGAGCUCAGGUCAUUACUUAGUGGCUGGUGGCUUUAUCUGUUUAUCCUUACUGGCCCCUUUUCUAAGUACUCUUAGUGUAUUAAAUCAUUUGAUUCUAAGGUGGGCUCCAAUAUCCUCACAUCAUAGAGAUCUACUGACAUUAAGUAAGGUGCUCAAGUCAGGUGGAGCUGAUGUUUGAACUCAUGCACUUGUCUGGCAAUCAACUAUGAUGACACUCUUUCCCAAACACAAGGACACUGUCUUUUUGUCAUAAUUACAUGUUAGAGGUGGUAAAAUAACAUCUAAUAAUUAGAAUGACACAAUUAAGAUUUUAUUAUGCAAAAAAACUAUUUUACAAAAUCGACUUUUUUCUUGUAUUCAAAAUGUCUACUAAUUCAUAGUUUACAAGAGAUAAAGAAUUAAUAGG